rnacentral:lncRNA from 1 species
UAAUCUCUUGACCUCGUGAUCCACCUGCCUCGGCCUCCCAAAGUACUGGGAUUACAGGUGUGAGUUUUAAAAGCCACGAAAUAGUAACACUCUCCUUCAACUCAUUUUCAGCUCAUAUGAGUCUUUUUUUCCCCCUUGAGUUCUGUUCUGUUUGUUAUGGCCUGAUGGUAACAAUGUUUUCUUAAAGAUCUAAAGGAAACUUUUUUUUCCAGCAUUAUAUUCUGUGCACUGUAGAAGGUCUUUUCUUUUGUCUUUUGGUAACUGGCCUAACAUAUUUUAUGUUUUAUUGAAAUAAUUCUUAUGCCACUAUUAUUAAGUUUGGUUUGCUUAGGAAAAACAGAGAUUUAAACAUUUUUUUUUUAAUUAAGGUAAUUAAGGUUGUUACCUCCUAGUGUCUCCUGUAUGUGCUUUUAAAGUCUUUGUGACAUUGAGUUACAGGGCUUUGACUCCUGGGUCUAAAAAGAACAGCAAGUCCUGCUAAAUCUUAAACACUGACAGCAAUUAAAGCCUUGUCUUUAGGCCCAGUAGAAGAUGCCAAUCAAAAUAAACUGCAUUCUUGAGACAC